UACGUAGGGGGCAAGCGUUAUCCGGAAUCACUGGGCGUAAAGGGUGCGUAGGCGGUCGACAAAGUCUGGGGUGAAAGGCUACGGCUCAACCGUAGUAAGCCUUGGAAACUUGUUGACUUGAGUGCAGGAGAGGUAAGUGGAAUUCCUAGUGUAGCGGUGAAAUGCGUAGAUAUUAGGAGGAACACCAGUGGCGAAGGCGACUUACUGGACUGUAACUGACGCUGAGGCACGAAAGCGUGGGGAGCAAACAGGAUUAGAUACCCUGGUAGUCCACGCUGUAAACGAUGAGUGCUAGGUGUCGGAGCCGACAGGCUUCGGUGCCGCAGCUAACGCAUUAAGCACUCCGCCUGGGGAGUACGCUCGCAAGAGUGAA
rnacentral:rRNA from 1 species